rnacentral:rRNA from 1 species
CCUUUUGUAUAAUGGGUCAGCGACUUAUAUUCUGUAGCAAGGUUAACCGAAUAGGGGAGCCGAAGGGAAACCGAGUCUUAACUGGGCGUUAAGUUGCAGGGUAUAGACCCGAAACCCGGUGAUCUAGCCAUGGGCAGGUUGAAGGUUGGGUAACACUAACUGGAGGACCGAACCGACUAAUGUUGAAAAAUUAGCGGAUGACUUGUGGCUGGGGGUGAAAGGCCAAUCAAACCGGGAGAUAGCUGGUUCUCCCCGAAAGCUAUUUAGGUAGCGCCUCGUGAAUUCAUCUCCGGGGGUAGAGCACUGUUUCGGCAAGGGGGUCAUCCCGACUUACCAACCCGAUGCAAACUGCGAAUACCGGAGAAUGUUAUCACGGGAGACACACGGCGGGUGCUAACGUCCGUCGUGAAGAGGGAAACAACCCAGACCGCCAGCUAAGGUCCCAAAGUCAUGGUUAAGUGGGAAACGAUGUGGGAAGGCCCAGACAGCCAGGAUGUUGGCUUAGAAGCAGCCAUCAUUUAAAGAAAGCGUAAUAGCUCACUGGUCGAGUCGGCCUGCGCGGAAGAUGUAACGGGGCUAAACCAUGCACCGAAGCUGCGGCAGCGACACUAUGUGUUGUUGGGUAGGGGAGCGUUCUGUAAGCCUGUGAAGGUGUGCUGUGAGGCAUGCUGGAGGUAUCAGAAGUGCGAAUGCUGACAUAAGUAACGAUAAAGCGGGUGAAAAGCCCGCUCGCCGGAAGACCAAGGGUUCCUGUCCAACGUUAAUCGGGGCAGGGUGAGUCGACCCCUAAGGCGAGGCCGAAAGGCGUAGUCGAUGGGAAACAGGUUAAUAUUCCUGUACUUGGUGUUACUGCGAAGGGGGGACGGAGAAGGCUAUGUUGGCCGGGCGACGGUUGUCCCGGUUUAAGCGUGUAGGCUGGUUUUCCAGGCAAAUCCGGAAAAUCAAGGCUGAGGCGUGAUGACGAGGCACUACGGUGCUGAAGCAACAAAUGCCCUGCUUCCAGGAAAAGCCUCUAAGCAUCAGGUAACAUCAAAUCGUACCCCAAACCGACACAGGUGGUCAGGUAGAGAAUACCAAGGCGCUUGAGAGAACUCGGGUGAAGGAACUAGGCAAAAUGGUGCCGUAACUUCGGGAGAAGGCACGCUGAUAUGUAGGUGAAGCGACUUGCUCGUGGAGCUGAAAUCAGUCGAAGAUACCAGCUGGCUGCAACUGUUUAUUAAAAACACAGCACUGUGCAAACACGAAAGUGGACGUAUACGGUGUGACGCCUGCCCGGUGC